rnacentral:rRNA from 1 species
CCUACGGGAGGCAGCAGUGAGGAAUAUUGGUCAAUGGCCGUAAGUCUGAACCAGCCAAGUAGCGUGAGGGAAGACUGCCCUAUGGGUUGUAAACCUCUUUUAUGCGGGGAUAAAGGUUUCCACGUGUGGAUGUUUGCAGGUACCGCAUGAAUAAGGACCGGCUAAUUCCGUGCCAGCAGCCGCGGUAAUACGGAAGGUCCGGGCGUUAUCCGGAUUUAUUGGGUUUAAAGGGAGCUUAGGCGGGUCUUUAAGGUGGCCGUGAAAUUUUGUGGCUCAACCAUGAGAGUGCGGCGCGAACUGGAGACCUUGAGUGCGCGGAAGGCAGGCGGAAUUCGUGGUGUAGCGGUGAAAUGCUUAGAUAUCACGAAGAACCCCGAUUGCGAAGGCAGCCUGCCGCAGCGUAACUGACGCUGAAGCUCGAAAGCGCGGGUAUCGAACAGGAUUAGAUACCCUAGUAGUC